rnacentral:piRNA from 1 species
UAGAUGUCUUUGUUUUGAAAAAAAUCCCU